rnacentral:snRNA from 1 species
GGAUAUGAGGGCAAUCUGGUUGCAGCAUCUGUCACCCCACUAAUUGCCAGAGUUGAUUCAGCUGAUCCAGCUUCCUAGACUGGUGUGACCUUCCUCCUUGCUCUGUGUGCAUCCCUCCCAAAGCUGUGUGCUUGGCCGAAGAGGAUGACCUUCCCUGACAGAGGAGGAACAUUCUUUGGUCAAGUAUAUAUGAGUAGCUGUGCUUUCCUCACAGAAUCCUCAAACAAGCUCUCAAGAUUUUGGAAAGCAGUAGAGAGGCAGCAGCCAUUUUUUUACACACAAGUUAAAAAGGCACUUUUAUAGAUCACUAGCUACUGCUUCACACCAUUGUCAUCGGGCAGCAGCCAGUCUUA